rnacentral:rRNA from 1 species
UACAGAGGGUGCAAGCGUUAAUCGGAAUUACUGGGCGUAAAGCGCACGUAGGUGGAUAUUUAAGUCGAUUGUGAAAUCCCUGGGCUUAACCUGGGAACUGCAUUCGAUACUGGAUAUCUAGAGUAUGGUAGAGGAAAGUAGAAUUCCCGGUGUAGCGGUGAAAUGCGUAGAUAUCGGGAGGAAUACCAGUGGCGGAAGCGGCUUUCUGGACUAAUACUGACACUAAGGUGCGAAAGCGUGGGUAGCAAACAGG